AUAUCUCUUCACACCCCCCGCAAGAUAGAGUUGCCCUAAUUUUUAGGGAAACUCAUCUUGGAUAGAAGAGUCUGGAACUGCGCCGCUCCCAAGGGUUUCGUGAAGAGAUCGGCGAUCUGUUGCCGUGAGGGUACGUGCACCGUGGAAAUGAGGCCUCUGGUGAUCUGCUCGCGGACGAUAUGGCAGUCGAUGUCCAGGUGCUUCGUUCGUUCAUGAAAAACCGGGUUGGCCGCGAUAUGCUGAGCCGCUUGGUUGUCGCAGUGAAGCGGUAUAGGAAGUUGUGGAUCGGCGUGAAAUUCUUUCAUCAGGUAAGUGAUCCACUUGAGCUCGCACACUGUGAGAGCCAUGCUUCUGUACUCAGCUUCUGCUGAGGACUUGCUAACCGUGGUCUGUUUUUUUGUUUUCCAGGAUAUUAAGGAUGGUCCGAGGAAUAUGCAGAACCCGGUGAGAGAUUUCCGGGUCAUCGGACAAGAAGCCCAGUCAGCAUCGGAGAAAGCUCGGAGCUUGAGAUCGUUCUGAGCUGGGAAAAAUAACCCUCUUGUUGGACAACUCUUUAGAUAGCGAAGCACGUGAAGUGCGGCGUUCCAGUGUGGUUGACGCGGCUGUUGCAUGAACUGGCUGAGGUGCUGCGUCGCGUAGGAGAUGUCUGGCCUGGUAACUCCGAGGUAGAGUAACCUACCUAUUAACCUCCUGUAUUUAUCUGGUUCAGUCAAAAGAGGUCCUGUUGUGUUGUCAAGUUUGAGUCCUUGUGGUAUUGGGUUGUCAGAAAAUUUGGCUUGCAUAUAACCUGUGUCUUGUAUAAUGUCUAAUAGAUAUUUCUUUUGGUGAAGAAAUAAUCCAGUCUCAGAACGUGCGAUCUGUAAUCCCAGAAAGUAUUUGACAUGUCCCAGAUCUUUGAUUGUGAAAGCUUUAUCAAGG
rnacentral:lncRNA from 1 species